rnacentral:rRNA from 1 species
UACGGAAGGCAGCAGUGGGGAAUAUUGCACAAUGGGCGCAAGCCUGAUGCAGCCAUGCCGCGUGUAUGAAAAAGGCCUUCGGGUUGUAAAGUACUUUCAGUCGUGAGGAAGGUGUUAAGGUUAAUAACCUUAGCAAUUGACGUUAGCGACAGAAGAAGCACCGGCUAACUCCGUGCCAGCAGCCGCGGUAAUACGGAGGGUGCGAGCGUUAAUCGGAAUUACUGGGCGUAAAGGGCACGCAGGCGGUUAAUUAAGUUGGAUGUGAAAUCCCCGGGCUUAACCUGGGAAUGGCAUUCAAGCUGGUUAGCUAGAGUCUUGUAGAGGGGGUAGAAUUCCAUGUGUAGCGGUGAAAUGCGUAGAGAUGUGGAGGAAUACCGGUGGCGAAGGCGGCCCCUGGACAAAGACUGACGCUCAUGCGCGAAAGCGUGGGGAGCAAACAGGGAUUAGAUACC